rnacentral:rRNA from 1 species
AUUGAACGCUGGCGGCAUGCCUUACACAUGCAAGUCGAACGGCAACGCGGGGCAACCUGGCGACGAGUGGCGAACGGGUGAGUAAUAUAUCGGAACGUGCCCAGUUGUGGGGGAUAACUGCUCGAAAGAGCAGCUAAUACCGCAUACGACCUGAGGGUGAAAGCGGGGGAUCGCAAGACCUCGCGCGAUUGGAGCGGCCG